GGUUCUUUACGGUUAUUAUUUUUUCUUUUAAUCAUCAACACUCGAGAAAUAUACUUCAGCAUAUGAUAUAUAGCGUAAUUAUACACAAUGUAGGAUACAGUAUUUAAAAAAUACUGAGUGUGUGUGUGUGACAGU